AAUGAACGUUGGCGGCGUGGAUUAGGCAUGCAAGUCGUGCGAUAACCGUAGCAAUACGGGGAAAGCGGCGAAAGGGAGAGUAACGCGUGGAUACCUACCCCUUGGUCUGGGAUAGCCGCGGGAAACUGCGGGUAAUACCGGAUAAAGUCUCCGGACCAAAGGUGUGAUUCCGCCGGGGGAUGGGCCCGCGUCCUGUCAGCUUGUUGGCGAGGUAAUGGCUCACCAAGGCGAUGACGGGUACGAGGCGUGAGAGCGUGUCCUCGCUCACUGGGGCUGAGACACUGCCCAGACACCUACGGGUGGCUGCAGUCGAGAAUCUUCGGCAAUGGGCGCAAGCCUGACCGAGCGACGCCGCGUGCGGGAUGAAGGCCUUCGGGUUGUAAACCGCUGUCGGAGGGGAGGAAAUGCCAAGGGGUUCUCUCCUUGGUUUGGCCUAUCCUCAAAGGAAGUACGGGCUAAGUUCGUGCCAGCCGCCGCAGUAAUAC
rnacentral:rRNA from 1 species